ACUUCCUCCAGCACCUUCUAAGCCUCCUCAGACUGCACCAUCGACUGAGGACCAGGUCCACGACACCCGAACCAUGGAAACCAGAGCUUCGAUUCCCUUUCAGACACGGGCCUCAGCAUCUUGUUGCCAAUGGAAGGAGGAUUCAGGUCAUUCCUUAGAAGGAAAGCCAUCUCAGUAAAUGAGCCUACAGUUGAGAGACUUUGAGUGUAUAAAAAGGAGAAUUUUGGCUGGUUAUGGCAGCACACACCUUUAAUCUCAGUGUUCAGGAGGCAGAAGCAGAUGGAUCCCUGUGAAUUCAAGGCCAGUCUGAUCUACAAAGCCAGUUCAAGGACAGCCAGGCUACACAGA